CGCGGGGUGGUGGAGUAGUACCAUACGAGGCCCAUAACCUUGAGACCCAGGUGCAAUUCCUGGCUCCGCAA
rnacentral:tRNA from 1 species